rnacentral:lncRNA from 1 species
CAAUCUUGAGGCUGUGAGAGAAAAAGUUUUGAGGAUCCUGAGGUCUAAAUGUGUGAAGUGCCCAAGAACUGACCCUGGACUCGUGGAAUAGAGCACCAGAUGAUAUUACCUGAAGGCUGCUUUGUGGUUAUGAGGUCUGAAGGGUAUUUAUCAUUGUUCUUCAUCUGAUGUUAUACUCAGUGCAACCAAGCUUCUUUAUUGCUGCCCUCUUCUGGAUGAGUUUUUGCUUGUGAAUCAAGCACAAGGAGCUGGUUGAAACCCAUU